AGCAUUUAUUAAUUUGGUCGUAAGCCGUAAGUUCUUUUGUAAAACGCAACUCAGGUUCUGUGGGUAGCAAUUCCCGUGUUCGUAUAUUGAUUUAGUAAGUAUACAAUGUUUUAAAGAACGUUUUACGUAAUCGUCGGCUCUUGUCGUCAUAGAGACUCAUAACUCUACAAAUCUUGAUACUUGUAUACGUUAAUGAACGAUGAGAAUGUAAAUGUCAAAAUACUACUGAACAGACUAUUAUGGAGCAAGUUUGCGGAUUUAGCAAUGUUUAGCGAACAAAAUUCACAUAUCAUGCAAUAAUGGGAAUUGAAAAAAAAUUUAAGACUGAAAACCGCAUUGUUUUACAUUUUAUGUGAUAUUCUGGUUAGCUCUCAAUAACCUAAGUGAAAAAUAAUGAAUGUAUAAGAUGUGUGAUAUAAAGUAUCAAUAAUGAAAAUGUGAUUGGUAAAUUUAUUGAUAAGAAUUAUUAAACAUUCCCUGUCUAUCGAAGAAUUUGUUCAAAUCAUGCAUGCAUUGAAUGAAUUGUGUUUUUUAUAUAAAAAGAUGUCUGGAAUUAAUCUCUAUAUUUGAAUAUGAACGUUGUAUCAUUGGAUAAUAAAUGUAUUUAGAUUAU
rnacentral:misc_RNA from 1 species